rnacentral:rRNA from 1 species
AUUGAACGCUGGCGGCAUGCUUUACACAUGCAAGUCGAACGGCAGCGCGGGGCAACCUGGCGGCGAGUGGCGAACGGGUGAGUAAUAUAUCGGAACGUACCCAGAAGUGGGGGAUAACGUAGCGAAAGUUACGCUAAUACCGCAUACGAUCUACGGAUGAAAGUGGGGGACCUUCGGGCCUCAUGCUUUUGGAGCGGCCGAUAUCUGAUUAGCUAGUUGGUGAGGUAAAGGCUCACCAAGGCGACGAUCAGUAGCUGGUCUGAGAGGACGACCAGCCACACUGGGACUGAGACACGGCCCAGACUCCUACGGGGGGG